UGCAUAAUAGCUCAGUCGGUAGAGCAUGAGACUCUUAACCUCUGGGCCGUGGGUUUGAGCCCCGCAUUGGGCAA